rnacentral:pre_miRNA from 1 species
ACAUCUGGGGCCUGAUCCAAAGCCCACUGAAAUCAGUGGGGGGCUUUCUGUUGAUUUCAGUGGGCUUUGGAUCAGGUUCGUGCAGA